rnacentral:rRNA from 1 species
GACGAACGCUGGCGGCGUGCCUAACACAUGCAAGUCGAACGGAGAACUUACGGAAUGCGACUUCGGUCAAAUGAAGUUUGUUCUUAGUGGCGGACGGGCGAGUAACGCGUGAGCAACCUGCCCUUCAGAGGGGAACAACAGUUGGAAACGACUGCUAAUACCGCAUAACGUGCUUUAGGGGCAUCCCUGAAGUACCAAAGAUUUAUCGCUGAAGGAUGGGCUCGCGUCCGAUUAGAUAGUUGGUGGGGUAACGGCCUACCAAGUCGACGAUCAGUAGCCGGACUGAGAGGUUGAACGGCCACAUUGGGGCUGAGACACGGCCCAGACUCCUACGGGAGGCAACAGUGGGGGAUAUUGCACAAUGGAGGAAACUCUGAUGCAGCAACGCCGCGUGAGGGAAGAAGGUUUUCGGAUUGUAAACCUCUGUUUUUAGUGAAGAAUAAAUGACGGUAGCUAAAGAGGAAGCCACGGCUAACUACGUG